rnacentral:lncRNA from 1 species
GAGAGGCAUAACACCAUCUGAGAGAUGUGAACAGGGCCUGAAUAAUUGUGCUGGGAGAGCAGAGCCAGCUAGAAGACUUUGUAACGCUUCUUGGCAAGAGCUGGGCUCCAAAGUGCGGAGGACAUUUCCUAUCUCUCUCCUGACUGCUAUGCUGGGGGUGCACAGAGAGUUCUGAAAAGCCUGAUGAGUAUUUUUCACAACAGAAGGGAGUCUCAUGGCAGCUCUCAAACUUGGUGUGCAUGGACACGUCUGCCAUGAGUCUUGCCUUUGCAGAAGGAAGUAAAGGCUCUUUGAUGAC